GAAUUUUAUAAAUAAAUUAAAUUUUUAAUAUUUAUAAAAAUUUUUUUAUUUAUUUUAUUGGGAGGAUAAUUAAAUUAUAAUAACUUUAAUUGAUAAAAAUCAUUAAUUAAUGAAAAUUUGAAUAUGAUUUUGUAUAAUAAGAAUAAAUUACCUUAGGGAUAACAGCGUAAUAUUUUUAUUAAGAUCAUAUUUAAAAAAGUGUUUGC
rnacentral:rRNA from 1 species